AGACUUGACUACACACGUAGAAACAUUUGUAUCAGGAUCUCUGGACGCGGGUUCAACUCCCGCCGUCUCCAUUA
rnacentral:tmRNA from 1 species